UGACCCGUCUUGAAACACGGACCAAGGAGUUUAUCGUGUGCGCAAGUCAUUGGGUGUUGAAAACUCAAAGGCGCAAUGAAAGUAAAGAAUCCGCAAGGAUACGACGUGUGAUCUGAGCAAUCACGAUUGCCUGGAGCAACAUGGCCCCAUUCUGGUCGCUUGCGACGGGGUGGAGGAAGAGCGUACGCGGUGAGACCCGAAAGAUGGUGAACUAUUCCUGAGCAGGAUGAAGCCAGAGGAAACUCUGGUGGAAGUCCGAAGCGAUUCUGACGUGCAAAUCGAUCGUCUGACUUGGGUAUAGGGGCGAAAGACU
rnacentral:rRNA from 1 species